rnacentral:rRNA from 1 species
UACGUAGGGGGCAAGCGUUAUCCGGAUUUACUGGGUGUAAAGGGGGCGCAGACGGCGAUGCAAGCCAGGAGUGAAAGCCCGGGGCCCAACCCCGGGACUGCUCUUGGAACUGCGUGGCUGGAGUGCAGGAGGGGCAGGCGGAAUUCCUGGGGUAGCGGUGAAAUGCGUAGAUAUCAGGAGGAACACCGGUGGCGAAGGCGGCCUGCUGGACUGCAACUGACGUUGAGGCCCGAAAGCGUGGGGAGCAAACAGG